rnacentral:rRNA from 1 species
UGGGGGAUAUUGCACAAUGGGCGAAAGCCUGAUGCAGCGACGCCGCGUGGGGGAUGAAGGCCUUCGGGUUGUAAACUUCUUUUGCUCUGAACAAGGCGCACCAUGGGGUGUGUUGAGUGUAGGGGUUGAUUAGCGCCGGCUAACUACGUGCCAGCAGCCGCGGUAAUACGUAGGGCGCGAGCGUUGUCCGGAAUUAUUGGGCGUCAGGGCUUGUAUGUGGCUGGUUGCGUCUGUCGUGAAAGCUCAUGGCUUAACUGUGGGUUUGCGGUGGGUACGGGCUGGCUUGAGUGCAGUAGGGGAGGCUGGAAUUCCUGGUGUAGCGGUGGAAUGCGCAGAUAUCAGGAGGAAUACCGGUGGCGAAGGCGGGUCUCUGGGCUGUUACUGACACUGAGGAGCGAAAGCAUGGGGAGCGAACAGG